rnacentral:rRNA from 1 species
GACGAACGCUGGCGGCGUGCUUAACACAUGCAAGUCGAACGGAGCUAUUUAUUUCGGUAGAUAGCUUAGUGGCAAACGGGUGAGUAACGCGUAGGCAACCUGCCCUCAGGAUGGGGACAACGGCUCGAAAGAGUCGCUAAUACCGAAUGACGUAACUCUUCCACAUGGAAGAGAUACUAAAGAUGGGUCAAACCAUCGCCUAAGGAUGGGCCUGCGUCUGAUUAGCCAGUUGGUGAGGUAACGGCUCACCAAAGCGACGAUCAGUAGCCGGUCUGAGAGGAUGAACGGCCACAAUGGGACUGAGACACGGCCCAUACUCCUACGGGAGGCAGCAGUGGGGAAUCUUUCCGCAAUGGGCGAAAGCCUGACGGAGCAAACGCCGCGUGAGUGAAGAAAGGUCUUUCGGAUUCG